GACAGCAAUAUGAAGGUCAGGCUGAAGACCUUACCCGAUUAGCUGAGAGGUGGUGCAUGGCCGUCGUCAGUUCGUACUGUGAAGCAUCCUGUUAAGUCAGGCAACGAGCGAGACCCACGUCCACAGUUGCCAGCAUACCCUCCCGGGGUGAUGGGUACACUGUGGAGACCGCCGCUGCUAAAGCGGAGGAAGGAGUGGGCAACGGUAGGUCAGUAUGCCCCGAAUCUCCCGGGCUACACGCGGGCUACAAUGGUUGGUACAAUGGGCAUCUACCCCGAAAGGGGAAGGAAAUCUCUUAAAGCCAAUCGUAGUUCGGAUUGAGGGCUGCAACUCGCCCUCAUGAAGCUGGAAUCCGUAGUAAUCGCGUUUCAACAGAACGCGGUGAAUACGUCUCUGCUCCUU
rnacentral:rRNA from 1 species